rnacentral:rRNA from 1 species
GAUGAACGCUGGCGGCGUGCCUAAUACAUGCAAGUCGAGCGAACAGACGAGGAGCUUGCUCCUUUGACGUUAGCCGCGGACGGGUGAGUAACAUGUGGAUAAUCUACUUAUAAGACUGGGAUCAUCUCGGGAAACCGGAGCAAAUAGCGGAUAAUAUAUUGAACCGUUUUGUUCAAUAGUGAAAGUCGGCUUUGCUGUAUCUUAUAGAUGGAUCUGCGCUGCAUUAGCUGGUUGGUAAGGUAACGGCCUACCAAGGCGACGAUGCGUAGCCGACCUGAGAGGGUGAUAGGCCACACUGGAACUGAAACACGGUCCAUGCUCCUACGGGACGCAGCAGUAUGGAAUCUUCCGCAAUGGGCGGAAGCCUGACGGAGCAACGCCACGUGAGUGAUGAAGGUCUUCGGUUCGUAAAACUCUCUUAUUGGGGAAGAACAAAUUUGUAAUUAACUAUGCACUUCUUGACGGUACCUAAUCAAAAAGCCCCGGCUAACUACGUG